CUUUUAACUUGAGACAAACCAUUGUUUACAUAUUAAAAGUAUUCAAAAAUAUUCGAGUGCUUUAUAAAUUGACGUUAAAAAAAUUAAAAUGGCAACUUUUUGUAAAAAUUUAAUAUUUUGUUCGAUGUUGCCCUGUAACAAAAAAAGUUAUACUCGCCUGUACACGAUAAUCUUAUUCUUUAACGUUACUUUAUCAUUAACAAGAUAGAAAAUAAGAUACAAUGAAAAGGGAGGAAAAUAAUGAAACAGAAAACUCUGCGAAUGUUUACAAAUUCUUGAAGAAAUUUACAAAGUUCCAAGGAAGCUUGAUUUUAAUGGACUACCCGGAUCGGAAGUUUUCUUACAGCCUGCGGCUACGUUCAAUAAGUCCUCUCCUGUUCGUAAUUUUCCAUCGAUACGUCUCGCGAAUACAGCGUGUUCCAUAGAGCAUGCUUAGAUGGAAAACUGAAAGAUAUUUAACCUUGGAUUACUACCAC
rnacentral:misc_RNA from 1 species